AUUGAACGCUGGCGGCAUGCCUUACACAUGCAAGUCGAACGGUAACAGGUCUUCGGAUGCUGACGAGUGGCGAACGGGUGAGUAAUACAUCGGAACGUGCCUAGUAGUGGGGGAUAACUACUCGAAAGAGUGGCUAAUACCGCAUGAGAUCUACGGAUGAAAGCAGGGGAUCGCAAGACCUUGUGCUACUAGAGCGGCCGAUGGCAGAUUAGGUAGUUGGUGGGAUAAAAGCUUACCAAGCCGACGAUCUGUAGCUGGUCUGAGAGGACGAUCAGCCACACUGGGACUGAGACACGGCCCAGACUCCUACGGGAGGCAGCAGUGGGGAAUUUUGGACAAUGGGCGAAAGCCUGAUCCAGCAAUGCCGCGUGCAGGAUGAAGGCCUUCGGGUUGUAAACUGCUUUUGUACGGAACGAAAAGCUCUGGGUUAAUACCCUGGGGUCAUGACGGUACCGUAAGAAUAAGCACCGGCUAACUACGUGCCAGCAGCCGCCGUAAUAC
rnacentral:rRNA from 1 species